rnacentral:lncRNA from 1 species
UUUUUUUUCUAUAGACUAUGGUUUACAAAUUACGUACAAUUGAUAUUAGCCUAGGUAUUCUACUGAAAGUUAUACUAAUUAAGACAUAAUUCACCAGUGAAUGAUUUGUCUAUACCUGCAUGUACAGUGCAUAUAUAGAAAUACCAAAUCAACAGGAAUUUUCGAUAUAGUUUAGUCAAAGCUUGGAAUUAAUUAGGAAAUCCAGUUUUUUUUUUCUUUUAAUUCGUCUAUUGUGCUUUUAGAUUUUAGGUCAGUGCGCCAUUUUAAUUGUCUUGACCAACACUGUAUUGACUUUUCGCAAACAGUAACGGGUCUAAAGAAAUUUAUAAAGGUAAC